ACCAAAUGAUACAGUUCACAUUGACAUAUAAAUGCAGAUCAGUGUUUUCGUCCAUUUUCUUUGGAUCCAUUUGUUGUUCUCGUGAACGUCUGUCUGGAACUUCUCUUGUUUUUCUCGCCUCCCCCUCUCUCUCCCCUCUCUCUCCCCUCCUCCCCUCCCUGAAACACUAAAAAUAGAUGGUCCUCAGAGCUGGCAGACAGAUUGGACAAGUCGAACGCUUUGAGCCUCAGUUCACGGAAUUAACUUUCUCCUUGACUGACAAUAGUACCUGGUUCUUUGUUCCCCUGCAGCCAACCCCCCCAGUGUAGAUCCGCAGGCUGUCGGUCACUGUGUUCAUCCAGAAACACAAAAUAAAAACACUUUUUUUUUUAACCAAAUCACACAGAGGCAGGUUGUUGUUGUUGUUGUUUUCAAUAAAUCCAUGCAACUCAGAUUUCUUUUUAGGUUUUAGGAUUCAUGUACAAGUUGUCUUCAUCCAGAGUGUUUACCAGGUUACGUGACUCCAGAGAGUCACAAGGCAGGCACAGACCUUUUAAAGCUGAACACGCUGGGGCCUCACCUGACUAUCAAUCACUUUGAGCUGGAGCUAACGUGACUGUUUAUCUAUGUGCACAGCUUUAAAACAUGGUUAUAAUUAGCUGCUGUGCUAUUUGAACACUUUUCAAGUUCAUUGCAUUACAAUUGUAAUGAUCAUAUCUCUGCUUAGACUUACUUUGUGUGUGUGUGUGUGUGUUUUGGCUUUCAGGGCUGCAGCUGCGUGUUCGCUGCAUUCACGGUGCCAAAUGUUUGGCUGCUGUAUCAUGUUCCCGUGUUAUCCAGCUGAUUUUCAUUGUGGUGACCUGUCGCCCUUUUUUUUUAUUGUGAUAAUAAGCAUAAAUAUAGACACGAGUGGUGAUUAGCAAGUUCCAAACAGAAAGUGACAGAUAAAGACCUCCAGCAAGAAGAAAAUAUAAGAUGGAGAGACAGAUGACUCAGCUUUGCCUUGUUGAGUGACAUAGAAGUGAAAUGGCACAUUUCACAACUUUUUAAAUGUGAUAGGGACAGAACAUGUUCACUGGAGCACAAAAUACAACAAUAGGUCAAAUAUUGAGUUAUAGAUACAAUCAUUAGGUUUACUUAUCUAAAAGCACUGUAUCAUACAGGUGAUCAGUUUGUCGAAAUAUCAAAAAAAUGGGGUUUAUAGUUUUAAUAGGGUGAUGAGUGGUUAGCCCUGUCGCCUCAACGCAAGAAGGUUCCCGGAUUGAGACCUUUCUGUGUGAUGUUUACAUGUUCCCCCCGUGUCUGUGUGGGUUUUCUCUGGUUACUUGGCCCUGCAGUAUGCUGGCGACCUUUCCAGGGUUUACUCAUGCUCUCGUCGCAGGACAGCAUGACCCUCAAAGGAUAAGCGGUAUGGCUAAUGGAUGUUUAACGUUUUUUGUAAAAGUUCAAAACUUUUCCACCAUUUUUUGAUUUUAAUUUCAGCUAUUUAAAACCUCGGUAUUCAAAUUUCAAAUUUGAAUUUAAAUUUGAAUUGGGAUUUGAAUUCAUCCCUGAAAUGAGCUGGUUUUGAACUACAAUAUGAUAGACUUCAUUUGUUAAUUGUCUGCAGCCCUGGGUUAUUGGCUUGUUCUAUAUAACCAUAGCGGUAAUUCUGAAAUGUUAUGAAAUUGAUCUGCAUCAUCACAACUCUGAAAAUGAAUUGACUUGAAACCGAACUGUAUUUUUCUGGAUACCAAACACGUUGUUUUGCUCAGUCCAGACAUCCAUAGUCACAGUUUGAAGACGUUGUGACAACUUUUUUAUAUUUGGCCAGUGGCCCAUGUCGGAUCAGGUGGUCUGCAGUAAUGCUUGGGACCCUUAAAAAGCAUCUGUAUUCCAACACUCCUCCGGUGUACACACUAAUUAUACAACUGAGACAUCGUGGCCACCUCCAUGUCAUCAUUGUUUCCCAGAAGUUAAGCUCUCAUGUUCCACUCAGGGCUUCUUCUCCUCUCUGAUCCUCUGGAGGAACAGUCUGCUCCAGCACCAUGUGACCAUCUGUUUUGAGCUUACAAAUGGCAGCGCACCGGCCUAAACAUGGUUGCUGCAAUGGCUUCUGGAAAUGUGAGCUGCCACCGUGUAGGUCAUCCCUCAGCUGGCAGUCUUGUGCUUUUUUUUGAGGAGCCUAAAGGAGGCCAGCUUGGGCCUUGGCUGUGGACUCACUCCCACACUCAUGUAAGCAGUGGAAUGACCUGCAAAGACUCUGAACCCUUUCUACCACAACCACAAGGAAAUGCCAAGGAAGUGCUCAGUCCUUUUUUUUUAUACAAACCAAACACUUUGCUGAGGGUGAUGAACGUGACCGUGUACAGGUUUCCACACUGCUGCAUCCAGAAGGAGGACAUCACACUCCAUCUAGUGGACAAAACCUUGAACCGACACAAAGGUGCAAAGUGUGCUACAAGCUUGAGUGACAUUGGGAUUUUCUUCUCCAGACCAAAAAAAGGGAUUGAGUUGCAUUUAUUCCAGGUAAAAUUGUAGCUUAUUUAGAGCUUUGAAUUGCAAAUUAACAUACUGCUAAUUUUACUUUCACUACAACACUUUACUGUUAUGACCUACGAUACAUGUGUUCUGUGUUAUUUCUUAUUGGCAAUUUGACAUUUGUGAAAGAAGAUUCUGAAUACUGUCUGAUGUAAGUUGAUGUAUUGUUUCUUAUCUGCCUAAAUUUAGGUUAAAUCACAGAAUCCCAUCUAGUCUUCUUCAUUUGAGACAUUUUGACACGUCACAAUAUGAAAAUCCCAACACAACACAAAACAAUAAAAUGAAUUAUGCUUGGAUGAAAAAGUCAUUAAAUGUUCUUAGUAGUCUGUGUCUUUCAAUACAUAUGGAUACUACAUAAACUUUCAUUCACAUGCUCAUAUACCAUUUCAUAUACCAAGUGUUAGAGUGUGCAGUUAAUAUUGUUUAGAUUUUGAGCCCCUCCUUACUCAAAUGCCUCAAAUGUGUGUCUCCUAUCGAGAGGUGAGUUCACAGUAGUAUUGAGUUCAAAAUAUGACUCUUUUAAGUAAUAAAAAAGAAUAAGUAUUGUCAGUGUGGACGGUAGAAUGUGUUUAACCUGUUUUGUGACUAUUGAAUUAGCAGGAAUUUAAACUGCAGACAUGUUGAAUAUGGUUUGAAAUGUUGAGAGUUAAUAGACUGAGAAGAUGGUUUCAUGAACUGUUGUUGUAUUAGACAGGUAUUUGUAUCAAUAUAUCGGCUUGUAGUGUUUUUUGCAUAAGCAAGGAAAAAAAGUGCUAUAUGAUGUAUUAUAUGUUUUAUCAUACUAUGUUAAUUAUGUUGCUUACUCCUACUGCUCUCUGUAACCAGUGUUUUGAUCAUUUGAAACAAUUGUUUUCACCACACACACCCAGAAAGAUAAGCGAGCAGUCAGUGCUGAAAUAGGUUAGCAGGCCAGAGCUUAGUCGGGGGUUAGUAUGAUGUUAAAAUGGCUUCAGACUGACGCGAGGCUGAGUAAGACCCAUCUGCCACCCUCUGCUCUUCAGCCAUCGCUAAAUGGAUUACACACACAGAGCUCUCAUCUAGAAGUGUGUGUUCUGGGUUGUUGUGGCGUUACAUCUUGGUCUGCUGUGUUUCCUUUCAGCCAGCUGUCCGCUGUGUAGUCUGCCUGCUACUGUGUGGAACCCCACUGCACAUUUAAAGUUAUUAAUGUUGGGGAUAUCCUUUAUGUCAAUGUAGCCUUCAGCCUCAUAGUGUGCAUCGGAUGUAUGCUGAUAUUCACAGUGUAAAGGAUUCUUUGUUUUGUUCAUCCCCAAACUACAUUAAGGAAAACACUUAUAUACUCAUAAUUUUUUUAAUCAAUAAAUCUUUUACCCUUUGCCAU